rnacentral:rRNA from 1 species
GACGUAGGGUGCAAGCGUUGUCCGGAUUUAUUGGGCGUAAAGAGCUCGUAGGCGGCUUGUUGCGUCGACUGUGAAAACCCGCGGCUUAACCGCGGGCUUGCAGUUGAUACGGGCAGGCUAGAGUUCGGUAGGGGAGACUGGAAUUCCUGGUGUAGCGGUGAAAUGCGCAGAUAUCAGGAGGAACACCGGUGGCGAAGGCGGGUCUCUGGGGCAACUACUGACGCUGAGGAGCGAAAGCGUGGGGGAGCGAACAGG